AAAGCACUAGCAUCUUUCUACACAGGAAAAGGAACUGUCUGCACUGUUAAGAGCCCCAUCUCUUUGCUGGGCUCAGCAAAUCUUGUGAGGCAGAGAGAAAAUGCCUAUGAGAUACCAUAAAUAUGGGAGGUGACUGACCAGCCAGAGAACUGCUGACCAGACUGGUGCAGAGGACAGGACCACAAAAGACAUGAGUCUUCCCAGCACAAGCAAAGCUGAAUAUUGUGAAAUUCUAAGGAAGAAAUCUGAGAGAGACAUGAGAAAAUAACUCCCUUCACUUCCUCUGCAGAGAUCAGUGCCCACAGGUGGGGGAUAUUGCACAUCGUAACGUAUAAUUUUA
rnacentral:lncRNA from 1 species